ACGUAGGGGGCGAGCGUUGUCCGGAAUUACUGGGCGUAAAGGGCGUCUAGGCGGCUUGGCAAGCGGGACGUGAAAGCCCGAGGCUCAACCUCGGAAAGCCAUUCCGAACUGCCAGGCUUGAGUGCGGGAGAGGGCAGUGGAAUUCCCGGUGUAGCGGUGAAAUGCAUAGAUAUCGGGAGGAACACCAGUGGCGAAGGCGGCUGCCUGGACCGUUACUGACGCUGAAGCGCGAAAGCCAGGGGAGCGAACGG
rnacentral:rRNA from 1 species